rnacentral:rRNA from 1 species
AUGUGGCACUUUUUCAUUGGUGCACCGGAUCCCAUCAGAACUCCGUAGUUAAGCGCACUUGGGCUAGAGUAGUACUGGGAUGGGUGACCUCCCGGGAAGUCCUAGCGUUGCACCCU